CAGUCGCCGCGGUAAUACGUAGGGUGCGAGCGUUAAUCGGAAUUACUGGGCGUAAAGCGUGCGCAGGCGGUGAUGUAAGACAGAUGUGAAAUCCCCGGGCUCAACCUGGGAACUGCAUUAGUGACUGCAUCGCUGGAGUGCGGCAGAGGGGGAUGGAAUUCCGCGUGUAGCAGUGAAAUGCGUAGAUAUGCGGAGGAACACCGAUGGCGAAGGCAAUCCCCUGGGCCUGCACCGACGCUCAUGCACGAAAGCGUGGGGAGCAAACAGGAUUAGAUACCCCUGUAGUCCCUGUCUCUUAUAC
rnacentral:rRNA from 1 species